rnacentral:rRNA from 1 species
GAAGGCGGCCCCUGGACAAGGCUGACGCCCAGGUGCGAAAGCGUGGGGAGCAAACAGGAUUAGAUACCUGGUAGUCACGCUGUAAACGAUGUCGAUUUGGAGGUUGUUCCCUUGAGGAGUGGCUUCCGGAGCUAACGCGUUAAAUCGACCGCUGGGGAGUACGGCCGCAAGGUUAAAACUCAAAUGAAUUGACGGGGGCCCGCACAAGCGGUGGAGCAUGUGGUUUAAUUCGAUGCAACGCGAAGAACCUUACCUACUCUUGACAUCCAGAGAAUUUAGCAGAGAUGCUUUAGUGCCUUCGGGAACUCUGAGACAGGUGCUGCAUGGCUGUCGUCAGCUCGUGUUGUGAAAUGUUGGGUUAAGUCCCGCAACGAGCGCAACCCUUAUCCUUUGUUGCCAGCACAUUAUGGUGGGAACUCAAAGGAGACUGCCGGUGAUAAACCGGAGGAAGGUGGGGAUGACGUCAAGUCAUCAUGGCCCUUACGAGUAGGGCUACACACGUGCUACAAUGGCGUAUACAAAGAGAAGCGACCUCGCGAGAGCAAGCGGAACUCAUAAAGUACGUCGUAGUCCGGAUUGGAGUCUGCAACUCGACUCCAUGAAGUCGGAAUCGCUAGUAAUCGUAGAUCAGAAUGCUACGGUGAAUACGUUCCCGGGCCUUGUACACACCGCCCGUCACACCAUGGGAGUGGGUUGCAAAAGAAGUAGGUAGCUUAACCUUCGGGAGGGCGCUUACCACUUUGUGAUUCAUGACUGGGGUGAAGUCGUAACAAGGUAACCA